UACGUAGGGGGCAAGCGUUGUCCGGAAUUAUUGGGCGUAAAGAGCUUGUAGGCGGUUUGGCGCGUCUGCUGUGAAAUUUCGGGGCUCAACCCCGAACUUGCAGUGGGUACGGGCAGACUAGAGUGUGGAAGGGGAGACUGGAAUUCCUGGUGUAGCGGUGAAAUGCGCAGAUAUCAGGAGGAACACCGAUGGCGAAGGCAGGUCGCUGGGCCGCUACUGACGCUGAGAAGCGAAAGCAUGGGGAGCGAACAGG
rnacentral:rRNA from 1 species